rnacentral:rRNA from 1 species
GAUGAACGCUAGCGAUAGGCUUAACACAUGCAAGUCGAGGGGCAGCACAAGGUAGCUUGCUAUCUGGGUGGCGACCGGCGCACGGGUGCGUAACGCGUAUGCAACUUGCCCUAUACAGGAGGAUAACCCGUCGAAAGACGGACUAAUACUGCGUAUGCUCACAACUUGGCAUCAAGUGGUGAGGAAAGAAAUUCGGUAUAGGAUAGGCAUGCGUCCCAUUAGCUUGUUGGUGAGGUAACGGCUCACCAAGGCAACGAUGGGUAGGGGAACCGAGAGGUUUAUCCCCCACACUGGGACUGAGACACGGACCAGACUCCUACGGGAGGCAGCAGUGAGGAAUAUUGGUCAAUGGGCGCGAGCCUGAACCAGCCAAGUCGCGUGAAGGAUGACUGUCUUAGGGAUUGUAAACUUCUUUUAUACGGGAAUAACAAGAGUCACGUGUGACUCCCUGCAUGUACCGGAUGAAUAAGCAUCGGCUAACUCCGUG